rnacentral:rRNA from 1 species
GGUUAGACGAAGAACUCGAGUAGAAGAAAUGUUAAUUUUAGUUAACGAGUCAAUUAAUCAAGAUUGUUUUCUUUUUUUAUGGGUGAAAUCUUAAUAAAAAGAUAUUCUAUCUUUUAUAAUUGAAAGGAACUAAAAAACUUAGUGUAAAGACCAGGAUUAGAUACCCUGUUAUUCUAAGCCAUUAUUAAAUAGGGUAGUAAAAGUUGUUCUUCAAACCCAAAGAUUUUGGCGGCACCUUAUCCAAAUAGAGGAGCUUGCCCCUUAAUCGAUAAUCCCCGUUUUAUCUUUCCUUUACUUGUAAAGUUUGUAUACCGCCGUUGUCAGAUUACCUUUAGAGAGUGUUUUCUAUAAAAAAAACUUUUUUACUUCAGGUCAAGGUGCAGUUUAUGUAAAGGUGGUGGUGAGCUACAAUUUUUUUAGAAAGACGGAUCUCAGAUUUUAAAAAUGAUUGAAGGUGGAUUUAUUAGUAAAAUAAUUUAAGUAAAAUUAAUUGAAUUGUGCAAUAUAGUGUGU